AAGAGAAGCGACCUCGCGAGAGCAAGCGGACCUCAUAAAGUAUGUCGUAGUCCGGAUUGGAGUCUGCAACUCGACUCCAUGAAGUCGGAAUCGCUAGUAAUCGUAGAUCAGAAUGCUACGGUGAAUACGUUCCCGGGCCUUGUACACACCGCCCGUCACACCAUGGGAGUGGGUUGCAAAAGAAGUAGGUAGCUUAACCUUCGGGAGGGCGCUUACCACUUUGUGAUUCAUGACUGGGGUGAAGUCGUAACAAGGUAACCGUAGGGGAACCUGCGGUUGGAUCACCUCCUUACCUUAAAGAA
rnacentral:rRNA from 1 species